UAGGGAAUCUUCCGCAAUGGACGCAAGUCUGACGGAGCAACGCCGCGUGAGUGAAGAAGGAUUUCGGUUCGUAAAACUCUGUUGUUAGAGAAGAACAGCGCAUAGAGUAACUGUUAUGCGUGUGACGGUAUCUAACAAGAAAGCCACGGCUAACUACGUGCCAGCAGCCGCGGUAAUACGUAGGUGGCAAGCGUUGUCCGGAUUUAUUGGGCGUAAAGCGAGCGCAGGCGGUCAAUUAAGUCUGAUGUGAAAGCCCCCGGCUCAACCGGGGAGGGUCAUUGGAAACUGGUUGACUUGAGUGCAGAAGAGGAGAGUGGAAUUCCAUGUGUAGCGGUGAAAUGCGUAGAUAUAUGGAGGAACACCGGUGGCGAAAGCGGCUCUCUGGUCUGUAACUGACGCUGAGGCUCGAAAGCGUGGGGAGCGAACAGG
rnacentral:rRNA from 1 species